CCUACGGGAGGCUGCAGUGGGGAAUAUUGCACAAUGGGCGCAAGCCUGAUGCAGCCAUGCCGCGUGUGUGAAGAAGGCCUUCGGGUUGUAAAGCACUUUCAGCGGGGAGGAAGGCGGUGAGGUUAAUAACCUCAUCGAUUGACGUUACCCGCAGAAGAAGCACCGGCUAACUCCGUGCCAGCAGCCGCGGUAAUACGGAGGGUGCAAGCGUUAAUCGGAAUUACUGGGCGUAAAGCGCACGCAGGCGGUCUGUCAAGUCGGAUGUGAAAUCCCCGGGCUCAACUUGGGAACUGCAUUCGAAACUGGCAGGCUAGAGUCUUGUAGAGGGGGGUAGAAUUCCAGGUGUAGCGGUGAAAUGCGUAGAGAUCUGGAGGAAUACCGGUGGCGAAGGCGGCCCCCUGGACAAAGACUGACGCUCAGGUGCGAAAGCGUGGGGAGCAAACAGGAUUAGAUACCCGAGUAGUC
rnacentral:rRNA from 1 species